GGGAGAGUUUACUCCAAGAAGCCUCCAAAUGUGGCUAUGGGAGAUCGGAUUAUCAUAGAAAGGAAAGCCAUGAAAGAAAAAUAGGAGAGAAGAGAGAGAUGGUAAAAUCUUAAGAAUGAGAUCGUCCGGAAUUUUUCGCCCGCCAGACAAGAAGACUUUACGCGCGCGCCAGCCAUUCUUGAAGAAUCCAUCCUUGUCACUAUAUUCGCGCUAUAUCCAACGGCCAGCGCUACUUCUCCA
rnacentral:lncRNA from 1 species